AUACUUACCUGGACGGGGUCAAUGGGCGAUCAAUAAGACCCAUGGCCUAGGCUUGUGACCUCCAUUGCACUUUGGAGGGGUGCCUGCCUAAGGUCGGCUCAAGUAGUCGAGCCUACGUGCUCGUCAUAAUUUGUUGCAGAGGGGGCCUGCGUUCGCGCAGCCCCUAC
rfam:Solanum lycopersicum cultivar Heinz 1706 chromosome 5, whole genome shotgun sequence.